UUGUUAUUUGUUGUCACUCGAUUUUAAAACUAUUCACAUGACACCAUGCAAUGCGCCACAAAUCUCUUUUUCAUGUUGGUGGACAUUCAUUGUCGUCACGUUUGUUAGUUCCCGUUUUUCUGACGCAGAUUUUUUAUUUUUUUUUUAGCUAACGUAACGUUUGUGCUCUUUGAUGCGACAGAAGAAAACUUCGCGUAACUAACAGGUUGGUCGCCAAGAUUUGAGCUUACUUGAUCUACAGCAAGUGCUCAGCGUCAUGUCCAUGAAAAGAACAGUAGAUCUACCUAACCUUUGGUCACGUCGGAGGCAUACCUAUCGUGAGAUGAAGAUUUGCGCUGUUUCCUACUACACAGCUGCUAGAGGUCAAACAUAAUUCCUUCGAGGCUCUUUUGUCUUUCGGCUAAAGAGUCUGUGACUGGCCACAUCUCAACUCAGCCGUGGAGGCUGCCGGCGCCAUCCCCUCUGCAGCACCCCAGGACCAAGAGUGGGGAUCCACACUAGGUUUGUGCAACCUAGGUGAAAGUGAAAUUGAGAGACUAGGCGUAUCUGUGGUACUCUGGAAACCUGCAUCUGAGGUGUGUACCGUGUUUCCGGACUUGGCAUUGAAUCUCAUAUCAGGAAGUUAAGUACUGGUUUGAACACAUAAUGUUUGCUAAAAAAAAGAAUGAAAGCUAUAUUUUAAGUCAUUAUUUUUUUCUCCGAAGUAUACCUGCCCAAGAAUGUGUUUGAAGUCUGAAAAUGUGUAAGUACUUGGCAACAUAACUAAUCAGCCUAGAGUUAGAGACAGCAAAUCGGCUUGCAGUAGUGAAAUAUCUCUUCAAAACUAUCAUUUGAUUUGCCUGAUGUAAAAGGAUUGAUUAUUACUGGAUAAAAAAAAGCUUCCCUUGAAUUUUGCGCUGAAACCGCAGCCCCAAUGUGUCUGUGCUACUCACAAAUUUUGAAGUAACUUAUCAUAAUCUGGCCAUUUUGGCGCAGGAAAUGUUUUUGGAACUUGCUCGUUUAAAUCUUUAAUUCCUGUAGAAUGCAAAGUCCUUUGCCGAUUAACAUUUUACUAGCCUCCAAGUAGACGCUGUCAAAGCACAUGACAUUUUGGCAAGCUGGGGCAGGAACUUGAGGACAGCGUUCCAACAUGUCUUGUUUUUUGAUGUUCUUUGGCUUGGCAAGCCUCCUCCCUGGCCAAGAGUGGCCAUUUUGCUAUUGCAGAAGGGUAGUUUAGGAAUAUGGCUUUACUUAAUAUUCAUCAUGUUGCCUUUGUUUCCUGGAGAUUACAGGGCUAGUCAAGCAUUUUAAAUGCAGCCAUUUCCCCAUUAUUCUCACCACUGAGAUCUAUUUCAUUUUGUAUAGAUGUGGUGAAAAAGAAAAAAAUAUCUUAAGCAUCUUUUAAGAAGGUGCACUGUGUAAGCCUCUCACACAAGUGUAAAGUGUCCACUUUGUUUACAGGCUUGUGUGUGUUUUUUGCAGACUUUAGUUGCCAAAUAAACCCUGCUAGGGAAGUGUCCACACAGGGGAGCGACAUCUCUCUUCACUGCAUGAGGAGUGCAACACUUGACGAUGCUAUGCGUUUGUAAAGUGUUUGGCUGAAUGAAACUCCCCUGUAAGACAGGACUCCUUGUUCAGGUGCCGCAAAGGAGUCUGACAGCUAGGCAGAGGUUAACUUCUGAGCCUUUCAGAUGCUUCUUCUCAAUAGUGGCACGUGAUGUUGUGGUUCACAGAGGUAUGGAGCGGGAGUUUUUCAGAAACACUAUCACAAUAACCUGUCCACCUGAGUAAGUGCCCCAUUCAAAUGUCCCUUAAGUGUAUGAGGAACAGAGGUGCAAACAUGUGUUUGAGGCUAAUGCCUCAAAACUUGUUAGUCUAUAACUGCCAUGCGUACACCACAAGGUACAUUAUUGAGCCUGGUGCUUGACUUCACGACAAGACGUAUUAUACAUUAGGGUUCUCUGUGUUAAUCUUUAUUGUAGAAGUCCAUUUCUGUAGUACUAGAAUGCAAUUUCACCUGGUGUUUCUACACAGUGACAGGCUCCUGACAUGAAAGGAAACUUCCUUUGUACUGUGGAAGUCCUGGUACUUGUUGAGACAGCAGUAUUUUCCACAUAAAGCACCAUUAAGUUGAUUCCUUAUUUUUAUUGCAUUCCGCUGAUUAUUACGGACUUUCAGUGGCAGGGGUAUGCCAUUUAGUUUUUGGCCUAGACCACUCCGAGGGAAGGAAGAAGAGGAGAGACGGUGGGACAUUCCUGAGAAGAGGUUCACUGUGAUUAGGCGGAGUGAGCGCUGACAUUCAUCACCACCGCAGCUGCUGUGAGAAAUGGAAAGGGCACCGCAAGGUGGACAUGUGGAGAGGGUAGCGUCGACCCUUCUGCCGAAAGACAUAGCUGCAAGAAGGAGAAGUGUCCCCUCAGCACAGACCUGUUUUUCUGCCAGCUCUCAGCUCGAGGUGCAAACUUUCCGUGCCACUGUUGCCGACCGCACAGAGACAGCGUGGCUAUCAUGGUCCUGCGAGAUCUCUUAUCUCUGCACGAGCAUCGGGGCUUUGUGAUGAGCCACAGAGAUUUUCUGCAGCCGCCUGGAAGUGUUCGUUUUUCCCGCUCGGCCUCUAGAGAUAAGAUUCGUGUGACGGCGGAGGAAGUGCUUCCUUGCAGGGAGGGCAAGACCACUUCGAAAACGUGGACUUUGUCCAACGCACUGAUCUGCCAUUGGAGUUUCUUGUGUUGUUCAUUCCUGUCGGGUACGUGCGUGUUUGCGUGUGCCUGCUUACAGCAGUAUUUCUACAACAGUGAAAUUGGGCUGUUGCAAUAAAUGUGUGAGUUGUCUAAGCACAGAUAACUGCUAAGCAUUAAAUAAGUGACCUGAUUACAUGGAGAGAUACAAAGACGUUAUGUUGAGUGGGAACAGCAUGUGAAGAGAAUAAUUAUCAUUGUAAUGAUUGCUUCACUUAGCAGCAGCAGGUCUUGAAGCAUUGGCCAUCACAGACCAGCUUGCAGGUUAUCGGGCACACCUUUGGAAUAAUUCUGUCAUUGCAUUGAAAAGCCAAGAAGUGCACAGCAGCAUACGAGUCAACUGAUAUCAACAUAUGCAACAUGCUGUGGGUGAUAAGAUGAGCCGGCAAUACACGCAUAGCUUCCAUCAGAUGCCAUUUUGAAACCGCCAGUGGCCACAUAAAAAAUGCGCUCCAGAGGCAGAAGAAAGAAGUCGCUAUGCCUUUAUAGUGUCCUCUGCCAACCAAAACACCAGUUAAGCUGCGGAAGAGCUGCACUUGUACUUUGGGGACAAAAGGGCUUGAACAAGCAGGGCUCAUCCAAAACGCCACCACGCUCCAAGCUGGAGGUUGACGUACUUGUGCGCCUGCGCCUACGUACUGGUGUGUCCGCAGUGUGACGUUGCUCAUGGUGACACGUGACUUCGAAAAUUAUUCAAGACAGCAUCUGUCAUCUGUUUGAUCUGCUGCUUGAAUUGACGAAUCAAAGUUUAGAGAAAUAAUAAAACAC